GGCAGAUCAAUGCCUCUGCAGCGAGGAAGGGAUUGGGAUUGGGAUUGGGAUUGGGAUUGGGGCUGGGACGGUGCUGCCCAGCUGCCCUCAUCCAGUGGCGCUCACGCUGCGCGCUGCUGGUCUAGGAGGUCAUGGGCGGCAGGGAGGGAGGGGGCAUGUGCCCCUGGAUCUGCACAGUGUUUGUGGGGCCAGGGCUGGGCCAGGGCUGCACCAGGCUGUGCUCUGGGCCAGCUGUGGAAGGUGCUGGAAGCAGGUGCUACGGCCUCCCACCACUUCCAGAGCCAGGGCUGCUGUGGUGCCUCCAGACAAGUGAUAUGCAGCAGCAGGAGCUCCUCCAGCCUCUCUGCGCCUCCUGGACAAGCCGUGGCUUUGCUGUACCCUGGCCAGGAUGCUUACAAGAUUGACCUGCGCAGGGAAGGCUUGUGAAUCCCACUAGACUCAGACAUGAGGUCGACAGAGCCAUGUUGCCUCAUCUCGAGCUUCCCCUUCCCUUUGGUGACGUCUUUAAGCCACAUAAGAGGACGGAGGGACAGCUGCUAGACGAUGAGGUCUCUUUUCAAACCAAGAACACUACCGACGCCGUUCGAAAUGGCCUUUUGUGUGUAGCGACCGUGGGUAUCACGUGUCGUUUGAAAAGCCCAUUCCAAACAGCUAAUCAAAGACCAGUACAUUUCAAAUAGCUGACAGUAUGGGAUGGAAAUGGGUGGGGUGCAAAACCUUUCCAAAAUAAUGCUUUGUAGUGAAUCAUACAUUCCUCCAACCAAGUACAAUUCUGUGUAGUGUCAAUAAAUACUUAAAUAUCUUCUCCUGUCCUGCGUAG
rnacentral:lncRNA from 1 species